rnacentral:rRNA from 1 species
CAGUCGCCGCGGGAAUACGUAGGUGGCAAGCGUUGUCCGGAAUUAUUGGGCGUAAAGCGCGCGCAGGCGGAUCAGUCAGUCUGUCUUAAAAGUUCGGGGCUUAACCCCGUGAGGGGAUGGAAACUGCUGAUCUAGAGUAUCGGAGAGGAAAGUGGAAUUCCUAGUGUAGCGGUGAAAUGCGUAGAUAUUAGGAAGAACACCAGUGGCGAAGGCGACUUUCUGGACGAAAACUGACGCUGAGGCGCGAAAGCCAGGGGAGCGAACGGGAUUAGAUACCCCAGUAGUCCCUGUCUCUUAUACC